rnacentral:rRNA from 1 species
CCUACGGGAGGCAGCAGUGAGGAAUAUUGGUCAAUGGGCGCGAGCCUGAACCAGCCAAGUCGCGUGAGGGAAGACGGUCCUAUGGAUUGUAAACCUCUUUUGUCGGGGAGCAAAAGACGCCACGCGUAGCGUUCCGAGAGUACCCGAAGAAAAAGCAUCGGCUAACUCCGUGCCAGCAGCCGCGGUAAUACGGAGGAUGCGAGCGUUAUCCGGAUUUAUUGGGUUUAAAGGGUGCGCAGGCGGAAGAUCAAGGCAGCGGGAAAAUUGAGAGGCUCAACCUCGUCGAGCCGUUGAAACUGGUGUGCUUGAGUCAGUGGGAAGUAUGCGGAAUGCGUGGUGUAGCGGUGAAAUGCAUAGAUAUCACGCAGAACUCCGAUUGCGAAGGCAGCAUACCGGCGCUCAACUGACGCUCAUGCACGAAAGUGUGGGUAUCGAACAGGAUUAGAUACCCGAGUAGUC